rnacentral:rRNA from 1 species
GAUGAACGCUGGCGGCGUGCCUAAUACAUGCAAGUCGAGCGAACAGACGAGGAGCUUGCUCCUCUGACGUUAGCGGCGGACGGGUGAGUAACACGUGGAUAACCUACCUAUAAGACUGGGAUAACUUCGGGAAACCGGAGCUAAUACCGGAUAAUAUAUUGAACCGCAUGGUUCAAUAGUGAAAGACGGUUUUGCUGUCACUUAUAGAUGGAUCCGCGCCGCAUUAGCUAGUUGGUAAGGUAACGGCUUACCAAGGCAACGAUGCGUAGCCGACCUGAGAGGGGGAGGGGCCACACGGGAAGUGAGACACGGUCCAGACUCCUAGGGGAGGCAGCAGUAGGGAAUCUUCCGAAAGGGGGGAAAGCCUGACGGAGCAACGCCGGGGGAGUGAUGAAGGUCUUCGGAACGUAAAACUCUUUUAUUAGGGAAAAACAAAUGUGUAAGUAACUAUGCACGUUUUGACGGUACCUAAUCAGAAAGCCACGGCUAACUACGU